rnacentral:miRNA from 1 species
UACAGCCUGGAAAACUUGCAGC